UAUUGUUUAGGAUCCUCAUUUUAUUUACAUAAAAGACACUUUUAAAAUAACUUCUUACAAAUAUCAGAAUCUAAACACUUCAAAGCUAAAAACAAAGCAUAUUCUAAUUGAAUCAAAACUCCAUGGAAGAUAACAUCAUCUUGCUAAACAUUUAUUAGCUUUGCCCCAAAUUUAGCACCACACUAAGGCUAUCAUCAUAAUUUCUGUUUCUGAAGAGAAAGUAAUUCAAUAGCAGAUUGCUUAGACAAACAAG